GCUGUACCAAAAUGAGUAACAUCGUCGACAGUGGUGGACACAGUGGCAGACCCAUGAAUUAUUUUGAGGAUGCGAAUGAAGGGUUCAACCAAACUUUCAAGAGGUGCGAUCGGGAUUUUUACCUAUACAUGACUGUAUUAAAAGCAAUGACAAUGAAUUAAAAGCAAUGACAAUGAAUAUGGGCGUUAAUGUCAACUUAUCCAUCGUUUUUUUUUAUAGUUUUCUACAUGACUGUAUAAAAGCAAUGACAAUGAACAUGGGCGUUUAUAACCUUGAGCUACCACUCAUGAAAAGUAGUUCUGUUAAAUUAAAAAACAUAAGUAAUUAUAUAACUGUUUUAUGUCAGACAUACUAAAACCAAAACAUGGUGUGGCUAUCAAGUCAACUCAACUCCAUCGGACCGAACUAAAACUAGAAAGUGACCCGUUUGGACCUCGCCAAUACGUAAAGAAAAGGGAACUUUUUGCUGGUAUAAAAGUAAAACACUAGAUGCAACAUCCAUAGAUAGAAAAGUUGGGAUUCAAACUGUCAGUCUGUCGCUACCAACAAAAGAGGCUAAACUGGUUCUCUACCAGAAACCUACACGUAGAGAUUAAAACCCGAAUAAACCAAGUUCACUGGCCUUCUCCUUCUCAAAUGUCUCGAAGUACUGAUAUAUGAUUGUAACUGCUAGCAAUAUCCCAGUACCGGACCCUAUGGCUCCCAUGAAAUCUGCCAAAACCGUCAAUGCACCAAUGCACAUUCCUCCAAAUGCAGCCGCUGUUGGGAUGUACCUGUUUAGUUCCUUCUGAAGGUUCGAGUCCCGAUGCCCCGGAGUGUAAAUGAAUCUCGAGACCAACCCAUUAGAAGGUCGAUUCGAGCUGAGCUUAAACAAGGUCAAGCCUAUAUUUGAAUAAACGAGCUCAAGCCUGAGCUUCACAUAUCAAGCUUGACUACACUAACGAGCCUAAACAAGACUAUUAUUUAUAUAAUUUUAGUAAGAAAUUAAAUAUAUAUUAC
rnacentral:lncRNA from 1 species